AGACUGCCAUGUUAAACAAUGUCAACAGUUCUGGUUCUCUAGAUUGGUCUUGGUACAUGAUACAUCUUAAGCUUGGUCUUGGUACAGGAUACAUCUUAAGCUGGAGUUCGUCGCUAAGCAGAUGGAGAUGUGUGUAUGUAUACAUGUGUUCUGGAGAUAGGAGAACUUAUC